UACGUAGGUGGCAAGCGUUGUCCGGAAUUAUUGGGCGUAAAGCGCGCGCAGGCGGUCCUUUAAGUCUGAUGCGAAAGCCCACGGCUCAACCGUGGAGGGUCAUUGGAAACUGGGGGACUUGAGUGCAGAAGAGGAAAGCGGAAUUCCACGUGUAGCGGUGAAAUGCGUAGAGAUGUGGAGGAACACCAGUGGCGAAGGCGGCUUUCUGGUCUGUAACUGACGCUGAGGCGCGAAAGCGUGGGGAGCAAACAGG
rnacentral:rRNA from 1 species